AAAAAUGAAAUGUUAAUAUCAAUAAUGCAAUAUCAAUAACUUGGACGGUGAUGAAACGUUUCUCCCACUGAAAACGCUACGUCCACAUGAACUGAAUCAACUUUUUCGGAUCCUGACUGUCUAAUUUAAAAUCCACUGUGGGGAUGUACGGGAGCAAAAACAAGUCACUGUGUAUAUUCUUAUGGACCUGACUUUACAUCCAGCUUUAACUUACAAACUACACCCUCCUUACCACAGCUCAGCUGUAGGACACUGAGGACGUUAAAGGUGAUCACUCUGCCUGUGGAUAUGGCCGUCACAUUGGAAGUGUGCUGCUGAGUCCGGAGCAGAGCAUGGUGUUAGAGCUGGUUUUCAGUGAAGAGCUGAGCUGAUGCUGGAUCAGAGACCUGGUGUCUUCACAGUGUCUGGGUCAGAAAUGUUACCUACAUGCAAAAGAGGCACGCAGUGGAAAAAGGAGGAUGUCUUCCUUAUCAGACGCAAACAUUCAAAUGAGGAAAUAAAAAUAAAAUAAACAAAGAUAUUACAGGCGUC